UUUUACGGGGUUGGUUCUCUCUUUCCCCUUCCCUCAAACCUGACUACUGUUGGUACGGCAAAAUCCACCGUAGAUCCAUCGAACAAUGGUUGGGGUUUUUGAAGUUGGCGCAGUCCCAUUUAACCCCGACGGCUGGGGACCACCCGACUCCACCACCGUUUGCACGCCGACGACGACCACCCUCCCUCUCCACGUCCCCUUCGCCCCAUUCUCUCGCUCCGAUAAGCUUGGUCGAAUCGCUGACUUCACCCGCUCUUUCCCUUCCUCAAACGCCAACCCAUCGAACCGUCCUUCCUCGAAAUCUGGCGGGGCCAAGCCCUCCGACGCUCCCUUCGAUUUCUCCCUCGACCUCGACGCCUUCCCUCUCGCUAACCCCGACGAUGAUUCGUCCUUCCGGUUGGUAGACGCUAAGCCUCCCCCUCGGCCUAAAUUCGGCCCUAGGUGGCGUUUCAACCAAAACAGACCUCAACUGCCUCAACGAAGAGACGAAGAAGUCGAGGCUCGAAAAAGAGAGGCCGAGAAAGAACGAGCCCGCCGUGACCGUCUUUACAAUCUCAAUCGGUCCAAUCAGAAUCAGCCACGUCGCGAAGCUGCGGUUUUCAAGUCCUCCGUCGAUAUCCAACCAGAAUGGAACAUGCUCGAUCAAAUUCCGUUCUCAACAUUCUCCAAAUUAUCCUUUUCCGUUCCCGACCCUGAAGAUUUACUCCUCUGUGGCGCUUUAGAGUAUUACGAUCGGUCCUUUGAUCGAAUCACCCCCAAGAACGAACGGAGACUGGAGAGGUUCAAAAACAGAAACUUCUUUAAAGUCACCACGACCGACGAUCCGGUGAUCCGAAGAUUGGCCAAUGAAGAUAAAGCAACUGUUUUUGCGACUGAUACGAUUCUGGCAACGUUAAUGUGUGCACCCAGGUCAGUUUAUUCCUGGGAUAUUGUUAUUCAACGUGUUGGGAAUAAGUUAUUUUUCGAUAAAAGAGAUGGGUCUCAAUUAGAUUUGUUGUCUGUCCAUGAGACUUCUCAGGAGCCAUUGCCUGAAGCUAAAGAUGAUAUUAACUCUGCGUAUUCGUUGAGUGUUGAAGCAACUUAUAUAAAUCAGAAUUUUUCACAGCAGGUUUUGGUUAGGGAUGGGCAUAAGGUGAGUUUUGAUGAGCCGAACCCGUUUGCCAAUGAAGGUGAUGAGGUGGCUUCUGUGGCGUAUCGCUAUAGAAGGUGGAAGCUUGAUGAUGAUAUGUAUUUGGUUGCACGGUGUGAGGUUCAGAGUGUCGUUGAGGUUAAUAAGCAGAAAUCUUUCAUAACUUUAAAUGCACUUAACGAGUUUGAUCCCAAGUAUUCAGGUGUUGAUUGGAGGCAGAAGUUGGAGACACAAAGGGGUGCGGUCUUGGCUACUGAGUUAAAGAAUAAUGCAAAUAAGUUGGCUAAAUGGACUGCUCAAUCUCUUUUAGGCAGUGCUGAUCUGAUGAAAUUGGGAUAUGUUUCAAGGGUGCAUCCUAGGGAUCAUUUUAAUCAUGUGAUAUUGGCUGUUGUUGGUUAUAAGCCAAGGGAUUUUGCUGUGCAAAUUAAUCUGAAUACUGCGAAUAUGUGGGGAAUUGUGAAGUCUAUUGUGGACUUGUGUAUGAAGUUGAAUGAGGGGAAAUAUGUACUUGUGAAGGAUCCAUCUAAGCCUCAAGUGAGGAUCUAUGAAGUUCCAGCUGAUGCUUUUGAGAAUGAUUAUGUGGAGGAACCAUUGCCAGAAGAGGAACAGGUGCAGCCUCCAACUGAGAAUGCUGAAGGUGUGGAGGAAAAUGGCACUACAAAUGCCGUUGAGGAUGAAGAGACUGAGGCUCAAACUUAAGGGAUUAGGCUUUAGACUGGAAGAUUGAUCGGAAAAGGCUUGAUUUGUUGGUCUGUUGACAAAGAACUUGUAUGGGGACGCAAAUUUCAGCUUAUAGAAUUGGACUUUAGAGUAGAAGAUUGAUUGGAAAAGGCUUGAUUUACUGCUCAUUGGUGAUUGCAUAUCCUAAUUCUGGUGUUUAUGGAGAACUACGAUAUGGAAGAUGCUAUCGUUUCCAACAGACCAGAUUUUAAGCCUAAAGAUUAGUCCACUUUGUAUUUUUCUUUCUUUUCCAAUUCCCAAGCCGAUUAAGCAAUAUGUGCAAGGAGAUUUUGUAAAAGUGUUUAUAACUUUUCUUUUGAAACUGAGUGAACCGACUUAGGCUGCAUUUGGAUUCAACUGCACCCACGAUGAGGUGCAGUUGGAAACCAAAAAGCCAGCUUUGUGAUCCAAAUGAAAUCACGGUGAGGCACGGUUGGAAGAAUCUAUCGCACCACACCUCCAAUUCGCCACUGGACCUUUUCGGUCCAGUGAAAAACUAUUUCUUCUACCGCAGCUGUCUUUUAAUAUUAUCCAUGUUUUUUCAUUUUUGCCCUUGAAGGUAUGGUGUAAGGACCAAAAUAUUCUUGUCAUUUUAUUUUUCAUUUUUUGGUUAAAAAAUUAUAAAUUAUUUG